CCUANGGGUGGCAGCAGUCGAGGAUUUUUCUCAAUGGGGGAAACCCUGAAGGAGCGACGCCGCGUGAGGGAUGAAGGUCUUCGGAUUGUAAACCUCUGUCAUCUGGGAACAAUGCUAGUCACCUAACACGUGCCUAGUUGAUAGUACCGGAAGAGGAAGCAGUGGCUAACUCUGUGCCAGCAGCCGCGGUAAUACAGAGACUGCAAGCGUUGUUCGGAUUCAUUGGGCGUAAAGGGUGCGCAGGCGGUGUGUUAAGUCGGAUGUGAAAUCUCACAGCCUAACUGUGAUAGGUCAUUCGAAACUGGCAUGCUAGAGGACUGGAGAGGAGACUGGAAUAGUCGGUGUAGCGGUGAAAUGUGUAGAGAUCGGGAGGAACACCGGUGGCGAAGGCGGGUCUCUGGGCAAUUCCUGACGCUGAGGCGCGAAAGCGUGGGGAGCAAACGGGAUUAGAUACCCCGNUANUC
rnacentral:rRNA from 1 species